GAUGAACGCUGGCGGCGUGCCUAACACAAGCAAGUCGAGCGAGAUAAAUGUGAGUGGAGACUUCGGUCAAAGCAAUCAUUUUGAAAGCGGCGGACGGGUGAGUAACGCGUGAGCAAUCUGCCCCAUACAAAGGGAUACCCACUGGAAACGGUGAUUAAUACCUUAUAAGACCACGAAGUCGCCUGGCUUAGUGGCCAAAGAUUUAUCGGUAUGGGGUGAGCUCGCGUCUGAUUAGCUAGUUGGUGAGGUAAUGGCUCACCAAGGCGACGAUCAGUAGCCGACCUGAGAGGGUGAACGGCCACACUGGAACUGAGACACGGUCCAGACUCCUACGGGAGGCAGCAGUGGGGAAUAUUGCACAAUGGGCGCAAGCCUGAUGCAGCAACGCCGCGUGAAUGAUGAAGGCCUUCGGGUCGUAAAGUUCUGUCCUAAGGGAAGAAUACAGUGACGGUACCUUAGGAGGAAGCCCCGGCUAACUACGUGCCAGCCGCCGCCGUAACAC
rnacentral:rRNA from 1 species